UACGAAGGUGGCAAGCGUUACUCGGAAUUACUAGGCGUAAAGGGCAGGUAGGUGGUUUGGUUAGUCUGUUGUGAAAGCUCCUUGCUUAACGGGGAGAGGUCAACAGAUACUGCCAGACUUGAGUAUGGGAGAGGGUACUGGAAUUCCCGGUGUAGCGGUGAAAUGCGCAGAGAUCGGGAGGAACACCAAUGGCGAAGGCGGGUCUCUGGACAGUUCCUGACACUGAGGCACGAAGGCCAGGGGAGCAAACGGG
rnacentral:rRNA from 1 species